UACGAAGGGGGCUAGCGUUGCUCGGAAUUACUGGGCGUAAAGCGCACGUAGGCGGCUCUUUAAGUCGGAGGUGAAAUCCUGGAGCUCAACUCCAGAACUGCCUUCGAUACUGUAGAGCUUGAGUUCGGGAGAGGUGAGUGGAACUGCGAGUGUAGAGGUGAAAUUCGUAGAUAUUCGCAAGAACACCAGUGGCGAAGGCGGCUCACUGGCCCGAUACUGACGCUGAGGCACGAAAGCGUGGGGAGCAAACAGG
rnacentral:rRNA from 1 species